rnacentral:rRNA from 1 species
CAGCAGCCACGGGAAUACGGAGGGUGCGAGCGUUAAUCGGAAUAACUGGGCGUAAAGGGCACGCAGGCGGUGACUUAAGUGAGGUGUGAAAGCCCCGGGCUUAACCUGGGAAUUGCAUUUCAUACUGGGUCGCUAGAGUACUUUAGGGAGGGGUAGAAUUCCACGUGUAGCGGUGAAAUGCGUAGAGAUGUGGAGGAAUACCGAAGGCGAAGGCAGCCCCUUGGGAAUGUACUGACGCUCAUGUGCGAAAGCGUGGGGAGCAAACAGGAUUAGAUACCCGCGUAGUCCCUGUCUCUUAUAC